GACGAAGGAUGCAAGCGUUAUCCGGAUUCAUUGGGUUUAAAGGGAGCGUAGGUGGCCUUAUAAGUCAGUGGUGAAAUCUCUGGGCUUAACCCAGAAAUUGCCAUUGAUACUGUAGUGCUUGAGUAUAGUUGCCGUUGGCGGAAUAUGACAUGUAGUGGUGAAAUACAUAGAGAUGUCAUAGAACACCGAUUGCGAAGGCAGCUGACGAAACUAUAACUGACACUGAGGCUCGAAAGUGCGGGGAUCAAACAGG
rnacentral:rRNA from 1 species